rnacentral:snRNA from 14 species
GUGUUUCACCUUUCAGCACUGCAUAUACUAUCACUGGAAAGACACGGGGUUAGCACAGUCCCUGUGAAAGAAUGACAUACAAAUCUGCGAAACAUUUCUUAUUUUA